rnacentral:rRNA from 1 species
CCUACGGGUGGCAGCAGUGGGGGAUAUUGCACAAUGGGGGGAACCCUGAUGCAGCGACGCCGCGUGGGUGAAGAAGCGCCUCGGCGCGUAAAGCUCUUUCAGCAGGGAAGUAAAUGACGGUACCUGAAGAAGAAGCCCCGGCUAACUACGUGCAAGCAGCCGCGGUAAUACGUAGGGGGCAAGUGUUAUCCGGAUUUACUGGGUGUAAAGGGGGCGAAGACGGCGAUGCAAGCCAGGAGUGAGAGCCCGGGGCCCAACCCCGGGACUGGUCUUGGAACUGGGUGGCUGGAGUGCAGGAGGGGCAGGCGGAAUUCGUGGUGUAGCGGUGAAAUGCGUAGAUAGCAGGAGGAACACCGGUGGCGAAGGCGGCCUGCUGGACUGCAACUGACGUUGAGGCCCGAAAGCGUGGGGAGCAAACAGGAUUAGAUACCCGGGUAGUC